rnacentral:lncRNA from 1 species
CUCAUCUCAGCUGAUAGAGAGCUAGCUAUCACAGUUUCGGAGUAAUCAAAAUCAUCUCUCUCAAAGAUCAACUGUAGAGCUCUUAACUUGCUUUCCGGUCUUUCUGGAGUUGCACCUUCGUAGGGGAGAUGAAGCAACUCACUCAAACUUUCUUCCGAGACCCUAACCCUUACUCCUCGGACUUCAGACACAAGCCCUC